rnacentral:rRNA from 1 species
GUGGGGAAUAUUGCACAAUGGGGGGAACCCUGAUGCAGCGACGCCGCGUGAGCGAAGAAGUAUUUCGGUAUGUAAAGCUCUAUCAGCAGGGAAGAAGAAAUGACGGUACCUGACUAAGAAGCACCGGCUAAAUACGUGCCAGCAGCCGCGGUAAUACGUAUGGUGCAAGCGUUAUCCGGAUUUACUGGGUGUAAAGGGAGCGCAGGCGGAAGGCUAAGUCUGAUGUGAAAGCCCGGGGCUCAACCCCGGUACUGCAUUGGAAACUGGUCAUCUAGAGUGUCGGAGGGGUAAGUGGAAUUCCUAGUGUAGCGGUGAAAUGCGUAGAUAUUAGGAGGAACACCAGUGGCGAAGGCGGCUUACUGGACGAUAACUGACGCUGAGGCUCGAAAGCGUGGGGAGCAAACAGGAUUAGAAACCCUGGUAGUCC